UGUCUGACGCUGGUCUGACGUCAUCACGUAUGUGCUCCGCCCCCGACGUGCCUAGACGUUCUAUCGCCCAUGCCUUCACCAGAGUCCGCCAUUAGCCCCUUGCCUCUGUUGAAGUCGCUCAGACUUUUAAGAAUACUUUGCCCACCGUGCCGGAAUCGUGAUCCUUUUUUUUGGCCGCACUACUCUGUUAAUGCAGACUACCUUUGCCCUGCGGCGCAAUGAGAUCAUCAAUGAUGAGCUGCCUGUUGGAGAGAUCCUGGAACGCUGGCCUGCCUUGAAAAUGGAGUCACAGAGUUUCACAGGAUAACAAACCUCAACCUGAAGAACCACUUCUAUGCGGAGUUGGAUAGACAUGUCCUCCAUCUUCAGAGCCUGUUCAGGAAGAAGGCGGCAAGGAAAGGAAACUGAACUUCUGGAUCAGCUAUUCGCCUCCUAUGACCUCCAGGUGAGUCGGUUAUGCCUCUUGGUGUUUUAUUCUCAUACUAGAGUGGAUUAUCUUUGUCAAAAUGUUAAUCUCUUCAGUCAUGGAAGAGCCCUUUCUUGUGAUAUCAAUUGUUGUGUGGUUAUACUGUUUAGCAUCCAAAGUAAAAC